rnacentral:rRNA from 1 species
GAAUCCGCCAAGGAGUGUGUAACAACUCACCUGCCGAAUGAAUUAGCCCUGAAAAUGGAUGGCGCUGAAGCGGGUAGCCGACACCACGCCGUCUGGACAAAGUGGUCUUUCAGAUGAGUAGGAGGGCGUGGCGGUUGUAUCGAAGCGUGGAUGCGAAUCUGCGUGGAACAGCCGCUAGUGCAGAUCUUGGUGGUAGUAGCAAAUAUUCAAGCGAGAUCCUUGAAGGGCGAAGCGGGGAAGGGUUCCACGCGAACAUUGAUUGGGCGUGGGUGAGUCGUUCCUAAGCCGCGUGGCAAUAGCUAAUUACCGGCGAAAGGGAAGCAGGUUGACAUUCCUGCACACGGAUGUGGAGACGGCGACGAUACAUGAGGCGAUCACGCUGGCGGUGGCGCUGGGCAGAGUUGUCUUUUCUGUUUGACCAUUGAAUACUUGCUGUGUGGAAUCCGCUUGUCGGGAGAAACACGCAGGUACGGGCAGAGCGCCGGGGCUUUUCCGGCGUCCAGCUCGCCACCGACGGCCCUUGAAAAAUUGCCUGCUGAACAACACUCUGUUGUUGUGAGAUCCACGCCGUGGCGUACCGAUAACCGCAUCAGGUCCCCAAGGUGAACAGCCUCUGCUCAGUAUGAACAAUGCAGGUAAGGGAAGUCGGCA